GUAAAAUACAUAAAUACAUCACAGUUUACAUGGAGAAACACAGGAUACAAGGGAAAAUCGUGGGAAUAAACAUUGGGAACACAAGAUACAAGGCAAAACUAUACAAACUCAGUGGGCAUGGUACACAGAUUUUCUUAGGUUUCUAUGCCAAUGAUUUUCACCAAAUUCUGUUUGCCUAGUGAAUAAACAUCUAAAUUGUUCUGACUGUAUUUCAUGACAAUUCUGUGUGGUUGGCCCUUUUUUUCCAGGCUUUUUC